rnacentral:lncRNA from 1 species
AGCUUUUUAUGACCUCCCUACCAAUCUGGGUAUAGCAAUUUCUUGUGAUCAUCUAUCAUGCGCUGCAUCUUUGAUGCUUCCUUCUAAAUUUCGCAAUCUCUGUGUGCAUCCCUAAGCACCUGACCGAGGUCAUCAGUAUGGCCAUCUUCUGCAAACUCAUCUUCAUCAGCCUCACCCAUUGUAAUAUUUGCAAAAGCUUGGCCUAUAGCGCAAUCCGGAAUGUUGUCAUCAUCCUCCUCCUCUUCACCGUCUUCCAUUACAACCCCUCUUUCACCGUGAUAGGUCCAAUCCAAAUAGUUAGACAUGAAACCGUAUCUAAACAAGUGGCUGUGAAUAGUCCCCUAGGAGGCCUUUGAAUAGCACUUCUGGUUACUGCAUUGGGCACAUGGACAAUAUAUGAACCCGUUCUCUAGCUUGUUCGCUUUGGCCACUUCAAGAAAAUUAUUCAUGCUACUAAUAAACACCUUGCUCCGCCUGUCUGCGUUAUACACCAUUGCCAGUCCAUUUGCAUCGUAUUACGCAAGCCAUCAAUAAAAUGGAUUACAAUAAAACUAUCCAUCACAUUGCUAAAGAUUUAGAUAGAAAUACACAAAUUAAAAUUUCAAAAGCAAAUAAAAUGAUACACUACAACAAACUCAUAUAUUGCUGAAAAUUUACAUAGGAAUACACAAAUUAUUUAGCUCAUAUUUAAUUAACAAAUAACUAAAUUAUUAAAAAAUUCAAUAUUUCCCACAUAAUUUACUUAUUCUAAAAAUGGCUAAUUCCAUACCUCUAUCUAAAAUGUACUAAAGUAUGAAAUGACACCUACAAUUUAUAUGGCUAAUUUAUAAAUAUUAAAAACACAUUUACUUUAAUUAUUCCCUAAUACAUAAAAUUGAAAUAAUCUCAAUUCUACCAUUUACUGUCCAUUCUCCUUCACAUUCAAACUAUCCAUCACAUUGUAGCUAAAAAAUAUGUAUAAAUACAAAUCCUCUACAUGCUUAACAACAAACAAAC